rnacentral:rRNA from 1 species
CUGGGCACUCUAUGGAGACUGCCACCUAAAGUGGAGGAAGGUGGGGAGUGACGUCAAGUCAGCAUGGCCCUUACUCCGGGGCUACACACGUGCUACAAUGGCCGGUACAAAGGGUUGCGAAGCCGUGAGGUGGAGCGAAUCUCAAAAAGCCGGCCUCAGUUCGGAUUGGAGGCUGCAACUCGCCUCCAUGAAGUCGGAAUCGCUAGUAACCGCAGAUCAGCUACGUUGCGGUGAAUACGUUCCCGGGCCUU